rnacentral:rRNA from 1 species
UACGUAGGGUGCGAGCGUUAAUCGGAAUUACUGGGCGUAAAGCGUGCGCAGGCGGUUUCUGUAAGACAGAGGUGAAAUCCCCGGGCUCAACCUGGGAACUGCCUUUGUGACUGCAAGGCUUGAGUGCGGCAGAGGGGGAUGGAAUUCCGCGUGUAGCAGUGAAAUGCGUAGAUAUGCGGAGGAACACCGAUGGCGAAGGCAAUCCCCUGGGCCUGCACUGACGCUCAUGCACGAAAGCGUGGGGAGCAAACAGG